rnacentral:rRNA from 1 species
AACGAACGCUGGCGGCAUGCCUAACACAUGCAAGUCGAACGAGACCUUCGGGUCUAGUGGCGCACGGGUGCGUAACGCGUGGGAACCUGCCCUUAGGUUCGGAAUAACUCCCCGAAAGGGGUGCUAAUACCGGAUAAUGUCUUCGGACCAAAGAUUUAUCGCCUUUGGAUGGGCCCGCGUUGGAUUAGCUAGUUGGUAGGGUAAAAGCCUACCAAGGCGACGAUCCAUAGCUGGUCUGAGAGGAUGAUCAGCCACACUGGGACUGAGACACGGCCCAGACUCCUACGGGAGGCAGCAGUGGGGAAUAUUGGACAAUGGGCGAAAGCCUGAUCCGGCAAUGCCGCGUGAGUGAUGAAGGCCUUAGGGUUGUAAAGCUCUUUUACCCGAGAUGAUAAUGACAGUACCGGGAGAAUAAGCUCCGGCUAACUCCGUG